UGACUAAGCGUACACGGUGGAUGCCCUGGCAGUCAGAGGCGAUGAAGGACGUGCUAAUCUGCGAUAAGCGUCGGUGAGGUGAUAUGAACCGUUAUAACCGGCGAUUUCCGAAUGGGGAAACCCAGUGUGUUUCGACACACUAUCAUUAACUGAAUCCAUAGGUUAAUGAGGCGAACCGGGGGAACUGAAACAUCUAAGUACCCCGAGGAAAAGAAAUCAACCGAGAUUCCCCCAGUAGCGGCGAGCGAACGGGGAGGAGCCCAGAGCCUGAAUCAGUGUGUGUGUUAGUGGAAGCGUCUGGAAAGGCGCGCGAUACAGGGUGACAGCCCCGUACACAAAAAUGCACAUAUUGUGAGCUCGAUGAGUAGGGCGGGACACGUGGUAUCCUGUCUGAAUAUGGGGGGACCAUCCUCCAAGGCUAAAUACUCCUGACUGACCGAUAGUGAACCAGUACCGUGAGGGAAAGGCGAAAAGAACCCCGGCGAGGGGAGUGAAAAAGAACCUGAAACCGUGUACGUACAAGCAGUGGGAGCCUCUUAAUGGGGUGACUGCGUACCUUUUGUAUAAUGGGUCAGCGACUUAUAUUCUGUAGCAAGGUUAACCGAAUAGGGGAGCCGAAGGGAAACCGAGUCUUAACUGGGCGUUAAGUUGCAGGGUAUAGACCCGAAACCCGGUGAUCUAGCCAUGGGCAGGUUGAAGGUUGGGUAACACUAACUGGAGGACCGAACCGACUAAUGUUGAAAAAUUAGCGGAUGACUUGUGGCUGGGGGUGAAAGGCCAAUCAAACCGGGAGAUAGCUGGUUCUCCCCGAAAGCUAUUUAGGUAGCGCCUCGUGAAUUCAUCUCCGGGGGUAGAGCACUGUUUCGGCAAGGGGGUCAUCCCGACUUACCAACCCGAUGCAAACUGCGAAUACCGGAGAAUGUUAUCACGGGAGACACACGGCGGGUGCUAACGUCCGUCGUGAAGAGGGAAACAACCCAGACCGCCAGCUAAGGUCCCAAAGUCAUGGUUAAGUGGGAAACGAUGUGGGAAGGCCCAGACAGCCAGGAUGUUGGCUUAGAAGCAGCCAUCAUUUAAAGAAAGCGUAAUAGCUCACUGGUCGAGUCGGCCUGCGCGGAAGAUGUAACGGGGCUAAACCAUGCACCGAAGCUGCGGCAGCGACACUAUGUGUUGUUGGGUAGGGGAGCGUUCUGUAAGCCUGUGAAGGUGKMCUGUGAGGKWUGCUGGAGGUAUCAGAAGUGCGAAUGCUGACAUAAGUAACGAUAAAGCGGGUGAAAAGCCCGCUCGCCGGAAGACCAAGGGUUCCUGUCCAACGUUAAUCGGGGCAGGGUGAGUCGACCCCUAAGGCGAGGCCGAAAGGCGUAGUCGAUGGGAAACAGGUUAAUAUUCCUGUACUUGGUGUUACUGCGAAGGGGGGACGGAGAAGGCUAUGUUGGCCGGGCGACGGUUGUCCCGGUUUAAGCGUGUAGGCUGGUUUUCCAGGCAAAUCCGGAAAAUCAAGGCUGAGGCGUGAUGACGAGGCACUACGGUGCUGAAGCGACAAAUGCCCUGCUUCCAGGAAAAGCCUCUAAGCAUCAGGUAACAUCAAAUCGUACCCCAAACCGACACAGGUGGUCAGGUAGAGAAUACCAAGGCGCUUGAGAGAACUCGGGUGAAGGAACUAGGCAAAAUGGUGCCGUAACUUCGGGAGAAGGCACGCUGAUAUGUAGGUGAAGCGACUUGCUCGUGGAGCUGAAAUCAGUCGAAGAUACCAGCUGGCUGCAACUGUUUAUUAAAAACACAGCACUGUGCAAACACGAAAGUGGACGUAUACGGUGUGACGCCUGCCCGGUGCCGGAAGGUUAAUUGAUGGGGUUAGCGGUAACGCGAAGCUCUUGAUCGAAGCCCCGGUAAACGGCGGCCGUAACUAUAACGGUCCUAAGGUAGCGAAAUUCCUUGUCGGGUAAGUUCCGACCUGCACGAAUGGCGUAAUGAUGGCCAGGCUGUCUCCACCCGAGACUCAGUGAAAUUGAACUCGCUGUGAAGAUGCAGUGUACCCGCGGCAAGACGGAAAGACCCCGUGAACCUUUACUAUAGCUUGACACUGAACAUUGAGCCUUGAUGUGUAGGAUAGGUGGGAGGCUUUGAAGUGUGGACGCCAGUCUGCAUGGAGCCGACCUUGAAAUACCACCCUUUAAUGUUUGAUGUUCUAACGUGGGCCCCUUACCGGGGUUGCGGACAGUGUCUGGUGGGUAGUUUGACUGGGGCGGUCUCCUCCUAAAGAGUAACGGAGGAGCACGAAGGUUGGCUAAUCCUGGUCGGACAUCAGGAGGUUAGUGCAAUGGCAUAAGCCAGCUUGACUGCGAGCGUGACGGCGCGAGCAGGUGCGAAAGCAGGUCAUAGUGAUCCGGUGGUUCUGAAUGGAAGGGCCAUCGCUCAACGGAUAAAAGGUACUCCGGGGAUAACAGGCUGAUACCGCCCAAGAGUUCAUAUCGACGGCGGUGUUUGGCACCUCGAUGUCGGCUCAUCACAUCCUGGGGCUGAAGUAGGUCCCAAGGGUAUGGCUGUUCGCCAUUUAAAGUGGUACGCGAGCUGGGUUUAGAACGUCGUGAGACAGUUCGGUCCCUAUCUGCCGUGGGCGCUGGAGAACUGAGGGGGGCUGCUCCUAGUACGAGAGGACCGGAGUGGACGCAUCACUGGUGUUCGGGUUGUCAUGCCAAUGGCACUGCCCGGUAGCUAAAUGCGGAAGAGAUAAGUGCUGAAAGCAUCUAAGCACGAAACUUGCCCCGAGAUGAGUUCUCCCUGACUCCUUGAGAGUCCUGAAGGAACGUUGAAGACGACGACGUUGAUAGGCCGGGUGUGUAAGCGCAGCGAUGCGUUGAGCUAACCGGUACUAAUGAACCGUGAGGCUUAACCUUACAACGCCGAAG
rnacentral:rRNA from 1 species